rnacentral:rRNA from 1 species
UACGUAGGGGGCAAGCGUUAUCCGGAUUUACUGGGUGUAAAGGGAGCGUAGACGGCCAUGCAAGCUCGGUGUGAAAGGUGCGGGCACAACCCGCAGACUGCACUGAGAACUGUGUGGCUGGAGUGCCGGAGGGGCAGGCGGAAUUCCUGGUGUAGCGGUGAAAUGCGUAGAUAUCAGGAGGAACACCGGUGGCGAAGGCGGCCUGCUGGACGGCGACUGACGUUGAGGCUCGAGAGCGUGGGGAGCGAACAGG